rnacentral:rRNA from 1 species
GGGGGUAAAUUAAUAAUUUAAAUUAUAAUAAAAAAAAUUUUAAUAUUAAAAAAAAAUAAUGGGGGUUAGAGUAUUUUUAAUAGAAAAAAUUAGUAGUUUUAUAGUUAAUUAUUACUGUAAAGGAAAUUAUAAAUAAUUGAAAAUUAAUUAAAAAAAAAGUAAAUUUAAUUUGUUGUAUCUUGUGUAUCAGAGUUUAUUAAAUAUUAGUAAUUUAUUUAAAUAAAUCUCGAAUUUAAAAGAGUUAAUUAAUUAAAAAAGUUAAUGUUGAAUAAUUAUUUUAAAUAAUUAAUUAGAAAUGAAAUGUUAAUCGUUUUUAAAUAUAUCUAGUUUUUUUAGAAAAAAAUUUAAUUUUAAAUUAAAAUAAUUUUAUAAUUUUUUAAUUAAUUAUAAAAAUUUAAAAUUUAAUAUUUUAGGGGAUAAGCUUUAAAUUAAAAUUUUAUAAUUAAUAAAUAAAAAUUAAAAUUUUUAAAAUUUAUAUUGUUUAAAAAUUAUAAUUUAUUAUAAAAAAUUUUAAUUAAAAUAAAAUUUAAAUUAAAUUUAAUUUUUUAUAAAAAAAUGAUUUUUAAUUAAUAAAAAUUAAUAAUAAUGAUAAAAUUAGUAUAUUAUAAUUAAUAAAAAAAAAAUUAGUUAAAAUUAAAUUAAAGGAAUUCGGCAAAAUUUUAUAUUCACUUGUUUAUCAAAAACAUGUCUUUUUGAAAAUAAUUUAAAGUCUAAUCUGCCCACUGAUAUAAUUAUUAAAGGGCUGCAGUAUAUUGACUGUACAAAGGUAGCAUAAUCAUUAGUCUUUUAAUUGAAGACUUGUAUGAAAGAUUUGAUGAAAUAUUAACUGUCUCUGAUUUAUUUAUAUAAAAUUUAAUUUUUUAGUUAAAAAGCUAAAAUAAAAUUAAAAGACGAGAAGACCCUAUAGAGUUUUAUAAUUAUAAUAAUUAAUAAAUAUCUUAUUUAUAUAUAAAUAAAGAAAAAUUAUUUUAAUUAUUUUAUUGGGGUGAUAAAAAAAUUAAAAAAACUUUUUUUUUAUUUAAACAUAAAUAAGUGAAAGAAUGAUCCAUUAAUAAUGAUUAUAAGAAAAAAUUACCUUAGGGAUAACAGCGUAAUAUUUUUUUUUAGUACAAAUAAAAAAAAAAGUUUGCGACCUCGAUGUUGGAUUAAGAUAAAAUUUAAAUGCAAAAGUUUAAAAUUUUGAUCUGUUCGAUCAUUAAAAUCUUACAUGAUCUGAGUUCAAACCGGUGUAAGCCAGGUUGGUUUCUAUCUUUAAUAAAAAUAAAUAUUUUAGUACGAAAGGAUCAAAUAUUUGAAAUAAUUUUAAUUAUAAGAAUAUUAAUAAAUUUAUAU